rnacentral:rRNA from 1 species
GAUGAACGCUGGCGGCGUGCUUAACACAUGCAAGUCGAACGAAGCACUUUACUCAGAUCCCUUCGGGGUGAAGAGUAUUGUGACUUAGUGGCGGACGGGUGAGUAACGCGUGGAUAACCUACCUGGUACUGGGGGAUAACAGUUGGAAACGACUGCUAAUACCGCAUAAGCCUACAGUGUCACAUGACACAGCAGGAAAAACUCCGGUGGUACCAGAUGGAUCCGCGUCUGAUUAGCUAGUUGGAGGGGUAACGGCCCACCAAGGCAACGAUCAGUAGCCGGCUUGAGAGAGUGACCGGCCACAUUGGGACUGAGACACGGCCCAAACUCCUACGGGUGGCAG